rnacentral:sRNA from 1 species
GCCGGGUGCGGUGGCGCACACCUGUAAUCCCCAGCAACUCAGGAGGCUGAGGCAGGAAGAUCGCUAGUUCAAAGUCAGCCUCAGCAACUUAGCGGGACCUUGUUUCAA